UCUCCGUUGGUGAACCAGCGGAGGGAUCAUUACAGAGUUUUCACAACUCCCAACCCUUGCGAACCGUACCCAUUCUGUUCUCGUUGCUUCCGGCGGGGGGGACGGGGGGGCCCGAAACGGCCUCCCCGCCCCGCCCGCCGUGGGCGACGGGCCCUACGUACCUUUAUACCCUAACCACCAGAAACCGUCUGAGCAAAUCAACAAAAUAAACAAAACUUUCACCAAUGGAUUUCUUUGCUCUGGCAUCGAUGUAGAAUGCAGCAGAACGGCAGAGCACAC
rnacentral:misc_RNA from 1 species